CUUGAGCUCUCGCCUGUGCACUGGCCGUCACAGCUGCAGAGAACAAUGAAGAUGAGGAAGACGAAGAAGAUCUAGAAUCACUGGCCUCCAGUGUGCCCAGU